rnacentral:misc_RNA from 1 species
UCGGUGCAUUCUGGGGGUUGUCUCUUGCUUUUUGGUGCUUGCUUGGUCUUGUUGCUGAGCGGGUGGCUUUUAGCCGAGCAGUCUUCGGGGAUGUCCUCCGUAAAGGUGCAUGAGUUGUGUUUGGUUUGUUACGGAUGGUUGGAUGUCUGCUUGCGCAGCAACUUCCAUGCGUGCUUACCUCUUCAGUUGUGCUACAAGCCUCGUUUGGCUUGGAGCAUUCGGUGGGUUUCCUGUGUUGCAUACCUAGUCUAUGGUAUUGUUGGCUCUAUAGAAGUUUGAUUUCAUUAUGCGUUGCUUCAGCGUGAUACGAACCAUGAAGCUGCCUCCGUUGUCCAACCAGUCAUUGCUUAUGCAUCGAUGGAAUGGCCCAUGGAGUGUUGCUUGGACUCUUGGAUUUGGAACAUGCAUGUGGGCACAUGGUCUUCGCAGAUCGUGUAUUUGCCCCCAUUGAGCCAUUCUUGCUUCUUUGAAUGNACUGUCCAUCCAUCAUAUCGCACUUGUCGGUGU